rnacentral:rRNA from 1 species
UGGGGAAUAUUGGACAAUGGGCGCAAGCCUGAUCCAGCCAUGCCGCGUGGGUGAAGAAGGCCUUCGGGUUGUAAAGCCCUUUUGUUGGGAAAGAAAAGCAGUCGGUUGAUACCCGAUUGUUCUGACGGUACCCAAAGAAUAAGCACCGGCUAACUUCGUGCCAGCAGCCGCGGUAAUACGAAGGGUGCAAGCGUUACUCGGAAUUACUGGGCGUAAAGCGUGCGUAGGUGGUUUGUUAAGUCUGAUGUGAAAGCCCUGGGCUCAACCUGGGAAUUGCAUUGGAUACUGGCAGGCUAGAGUGCGGUAGAGGGUAGUGGAAUUCCCGGUGUAGCAGUGAAAUGCGCAGAGAUCGGGAGGAACAUCCGUGGCGAAGGCGACUACCUGGACCAGCACUGACACUGAGGCACGAAAGCGUGGGGAGCAAACAGG